CUAAUAAAGAAUCCAGAUUUGAAAGAUCUUCAUAUAUAAGCCGUUCUACAAACACUCGUCGAAUUGACGUCGAACAAGGGUCGAGGGGAAAUAUAGUGGUGGUUUCGUUAUAUAUUCGUUAUAGAACGAAGGUGAUUCUAACUGGUCGUAGUUGUUCCCUCAAUCGAUACACGCGCAGUGUUGUUUGUCUCAUACUAUGGAAAUGUUACCGAAGCUGCUUGUUUUUCAUGAACAUUAAAAAGACAUCUAACUUCGAGAUAUUACAAAAUCAUUUCGAUCAGAAAUAUUAAUUGAAAAAUGUGAACUUAUAGAAAUAUAAAGAGAUUGUAAAACAAAAUAAUUAUUGCCAAAAAAAGUUUGAGAGUUCUCGUAUUUUCGACUUGUCGUCCUUUCAUUGAUUUCUAAAAUACCAACGCCGCGCGCAAAAAUCCAAAAGUGUAAUGUGAUUAUUAUAUGAAAAUAAAACCAACAUGAGAAUACAUUUUUCAUAAUUAAUCAUAAAUAGAAAAGUGUGAUAUUUUUUUUUUACAAGAUACGUUUUGUGAAAAUUGCCGACUCGAAUAUAGUUAUCAUUAGCUGAGACAAUGCUAUAUUAAUCACAUAUCACGAAAUUAUAAUUGAAUUAUAGUCAGUCGAAUUCUACCGUGCAAGUAAUCUACUUUUGACUGAAUGAAAUUCCAAUUGAACAGUAACAUUAUUCUAGCAAUAGUUUGCUGUCAAUUCUAUCUUAAGACACAUCAUCAUUCUAUAAGGUGAUACAUUUAAACAUGACAAGCCGUGUUUUACAUGCAUAAUGAUGGUGUAAACGUGGUAAACAGCUGUUGUCACAGUUUCUUCAGAGACAACAGAUACGAUAACAUCGAUAGUGACUUCCUAUCGAACCUACGAAAUUAUCUUCCUUUGUAUUACGAGUGUAUCCAUCAUCAACGAAAAUAUUUUGAUUUUAAAUAAAAUUGAUCAGAACAAUCAAUAACUGAUGUCUUGGAUCGAAUGUAUUCAUUGUCGUUGAACGACACGUUUAAAAAAUCAAGAAAUGGAAAUACUUGCGUGUAGAAGGAACGUGAAGAAGGUGUUACAUUUCAUAAAAAUCUUUUAUUAACCAGAUGGUUUGUGGCAGUGAUGCCCUCGUCGGAGGAGGAAAGCCAGUGGCUCGUUGGCAGCGGGGGUGGUCUUGCAUCUUCCGGCGGUGGCACGAUAUCCGGAACUGGAGAACGUACGUUAAACAUUAGAGGAGGAUUAUAUACUGAAGAGAUGACGACUCAACCAACGAACACGAACACUGCAAGUGUGAAUACUGGUUCAGCCGAUUCUGCUGAACAUGAUCUUAUUGACUCUACUGCAGAUGCAACACUUUUAGCACAAUUUCACGAAGAUGCUAUCAAGCAAGCUGGUGUUGGUUACUUCCAAUUAUUAGCUGCUCUAUGCACAGGUUUAAGUCUUGCAGCAGAUACUGUUGAAUUUUUUGUUGUACCAUAUAUUUUACCAAGUGCUGAAGUUGAACUUUGCAUUGAGGACAAUGAAAAAGGAUGGCUCAGUAAUAUUACUUUAAUGGGCCUUGCACUAGGUGGACUAUUUUGGGGUGGUUUGGGAGAUAGAAUUGGUAGACGAAGAUCUUUAUUAUCUGCAAUGGCUGUUCAUGCUUUAUUUAGUGGUGUUGCAACUUUUAUGCCAACUUAUGGAACUUUUAUGUGUGCUAGAUUUUGUUCUGCAAUUGGAGUAGGAGGAUCUUUACCAUUAGCAUUUACAUAUCUCGCAGAAUGUUGUCCAAGAUUAAGCAGAAGUAGAUGGGUUGGUCUAUUAGUAGCAGCAGGAGCAUUAGGAGGUGUAUAUGCAGCUCUUUUAGCAUGGGUAGUAGUUCCUACAACUGGAGAAAUGGUAGUUCUUGAAAAUAAAGAACAUUUCAGUGCUUGGCAUCGUUUUCUUUUACUUUGCUGUUUACCUGCAUUAUGUUCUACUAUUGGGCUUAUUUUUCUACCAGAAAGUCCAAGAUAUUUGGUAGAGGUUGGCAGAGAUGUGGAGGCAAUGAUGGUUUAUCAGAAAAUAUAUAAAAAAAAUAAUACACGAAAAGGUGCAACAGGCGCACAAUAUCAACUUUCUGAAUUAGAGCUUCCAACUAAAAGGCCUCGUGGAUUAGCACCUCCAUCUCCUAGUAAUCAUACUAGUGUUUUGGCUGAUAUAAUUUAUUCCAUUGAGAUGUUCUGGAAUUCCUUUUUAGAAUUAUUUGUAUCGCCUCAUUUACGCGUCACAGUAGUGCUUAUAAUUAUUUGGUCAACUGUAUCAUUUGGAUUAUAUGGUCUUAUGGUAUGGUGUCCCGAGUAUCUUAAACUUUUGCGUGCUACAGAAUAUAAAGCUCAUAAAGUUCUAUUUCAUGAUGAAAAGCACGAAGGAAAAACAUUCAAUGGUUCUUUAGAAAAUUGUCAAUAUAAAGAUUCAACAUUUUCGAAUUGCAAAUUCAGUAAAAUGGUAUUCAGUCAUGUAGAUUUCGAUAAUUGUACUUUUCAAUCCGUAGAAUUUAAUAACAUAAAAUCUAGUAAAACUCAUUUUACACACAGUAUUAUUGUGCAUUCAAAAUUUGUAGAUACGGAUCUAUCUGCACAAGUUUUUACAAAUUGCACACUUGAAAAUAAUACAGAAUUAAGUUUAAAAGGACCGUGUCCGACUCUCGAUUUGGAUUAUAAUAUUUACAUAGAAGAAGCAUUACAUGGUCAUCUUGUUGCUCAAUUAUCCUUUGUACCUGCUGCUGCUUUAGCAGGGCUAGCACUCACUGUGUUUCAACGGCCAAAGAUGAUUGGUAUUUCAUUAUUUUUCUCCUCAAUAGCUGCUUUAUGUUUAAUUUUAGUGGGCACAAAUAGUUCUGCAGUGCUUGGUUUUGAAGGUGGUUUUAUAGCAGUUUUUGCUAUUGCUUGGACAUCUCUUACAUUGGUUACAAUUGAGAGCUUCCCAACCCAUUUAAGGUGUACUGGUUUCGGUUUUAUAGCAGGCGUCAUAAGAAUAUGUGGUUUAAUAGGAACUACAACUUAUAAAACCUUAGUUAGCGCACCUCUUAUUGCGCCUGCAUUGCUAACCGCAUUACCGUUAUUAGUAGCUAGUGUUGCAACAUUCAAAUUGCCUCAUACACAUACAGUUUUCUUGUAAGGAUAUUACGACCAUAAAGGAAAAGUCAAUCUUGCUGGCAUACGAAGUUUUUUCGAAGGAACUCUUUUUACGACAGUGCUUCGGACGGCACAAAGAAAGCGUGUCAUGCCUAAAAAUACGCAAGGCACGCAGGUAGAUGUGAAGAGGUCGUAGGGACUGGGAGGGAAUAAAAAAAAGGCAAAGGAAUUGCACAAGAGCAGCGAUUUGGUAUUCAAAUCGCUAGGCAUGUUCCCGCCUCUCUCGUGGCACAGGACCUCCUCCUCCUGUAGCAAUAAUACGAAGGAGGAAUUCGAUCAACUGUUUAAUUCACAUUGAUAUUAAAUUACUCGUUCACUUCCAAAGAGAAACGUCCUCGAGAAACUUCAAUGCGAGAACUAACAGAGGCGUGGAGACUUUAACGACCGCACGUGCAAUGUCUGACUAGCACGGUUACAUAAAGUCAGAAUCAUCGACAAAGGCUUGGUUAUUUCGUGUUUCCGAAUGUUUCACUUUCUCCUGCGGCAUCCGUAUGCUUUGGAAUGAAUGCUGUUCCAUAUCGCUGUAUCCAAGAAUUAAAAUUAUCGAUGUUUCAUCGUCGUAGUUACAAUGUACACGAUCGCUCAACCGGAUACUGUAAUGUUUCACCAGGGUAAAAACUUUCUUCUUAUUUAUUUAGAACUGGAGCAUUUCACAUUCUGACAAACUUGUGCAUAUUAAUGUAUCGGAUCUGUUGCACUCGUGGCAAAAUUAUCGCAAAAUGUUUUACCAUUUUCGAAAUCGAGUAGAAUUAAUAACGACUUCCCACUUAGAUUAACGUCACGCCAAUAAAGAUUUGUAUGAUAUAUAUCCUGUUCAUUGUGAAAUCUCUUCGAUAAUCCAGGGUUUUCCCGCGUGUCAUCGCACAUUACACUGAUACCAGAAGCAUGAUCACAGACAAUAGCACGCGAAAACGGGCAGAGGAACGGAAUCAUUUAUUGUAUUGAUCGAAAGAAAUCAACCACAUAGUCGGAAAAGACAACGAAAACUCACGUGUCUUUCGAAAGAUAAAAUGUAAGGAGUCGGUUAACGAAAACAGUGAUUGGUAUACGUGGCACCGGAUUGGCCUGUGGCAUACCUUGACAACACGCACGGUAUGUGCGCACAUCGGCAACCUGUGCACCCACUAACCACUAACCGCCGAACCACGGGAGGCCAAGGUGUGCGCGCGCCAGGAUAAUAUAUGUAUCUAUGUGCGUUAACCACGUGAGAGCGGCCAGCAUCUUUUCUUGGGGUCUCUUAGACGGCGAGUUCUCACUCAACAUUCCCGGCAAUCUCUGAUCGACGAGUUUUUAUGAAGGUCGUACGAACUACGUGAGUCUACCCACUUAUCCAGCUGCAUCGCUAAUAUAAAUGUUUAUGCUAUUUAUGAUUGCGUGAAAUAUGCGAAAAAUGGAUCAAAAUUAUACACAUUAUAUAUAACAUAAUACAUAUACAACAUGUUAAACAUGUUAAACAUGUUAAAAUGUAAUGGAAAAAUAAUAACUUGAAAGCAAUAAUGAUUUUAUCAAAUUUCAACUAUUACAUAUAUCUGUGUUUUCAAUUUUUCUUAUGUUUUCAGAAGAAUGAAACUCGAAUAUAUGAAACGUUAUAAUGUUCUCCAAAGUGAAGGUAGAAGGAAAGUUGGACAAGACAUAGGCUCAAAGAAGUUGUAACUUCAUAGCAAUAAUUGUGAUCUUUUGAAACAAUACAAUAUUUGAGUGAAUUUUCAAUACAAGAAUUUCAACAGUUUAGUCAUUUUUCUGACUAAAAUUUUUUAAAAUAUGAAUACAAUGAUUGCUUGAGAUAAUUGAAUUAAUGUUAAACAUAUUCAUUAAUUAGAUAUUCGUUUCAGGAAUAAGCAUUCUUAUUAGAUACAGAAACUAUUUUAUCCUUUCGAUAGAAUAUCGGAUUUGUAACAAGAGAUUUUAUUUUACAAUUGACAAUAUUUCGAAUUCUCAUUUGCAACUUUGAAGAUGAAGAUGGCGGCGGACUACGGUAAUUUAUUAACUAGUCCAGCAAGUCAAACCUGUUGGUUCCCUGCUGAUGUGUUUUGCUUCUCGUGUCUGAACGCGAAGUACUGGAGUUCUUUGAUAUCUUUCUAUAGAAAACUGUUUCUUAAUUCUUACUAUUUUAACGAUCUCUUUUUGCAGAUCCAUUUACCAUUUCAUUUGCACUGAGUUAUCUUCUUAUUCAAAAUUUUCUCCCAUUGUACAUACGGGCUGACAAUAUCAGAGGUUUUCUACUUCAUGAUAUAUGCGUGGUAUAUGCAUAUAAUUUCAAUUUUUAUUUCUACCGAAUAAUCUUUUUUGUUUCAUCCACCUCGGAUCAGCAAAAUUUUUACAUUCUUGUUUUUUUUCAUUACCACGAUAUCAUGCUAUAUUGUCGAUCUAAAAAAUUUUAAAAAUAACAGUUAUAUAUACUUCUCCAUAGAAAUAUAGCUAAAAAAGAGGAUUAUAAUAUCAAAGUCGGAAGAAAUUUGUAAAAUGUAUCGCAGCGGAUAUGAUUUUUUUCUAAGUUGUUUGUAUCUAAUUCGUAUUUCUUUACAAUACAUAUCUUUUAUAAAUAUUGUAAAAAAUGCAGAAUAUAUAAUUUCAAAACGUUUA